UCGGGAAUUUUGGGCAAUGGGCGAAAGCCUGACCCAGCAACGCCGCGUGAAGGAUGAAGUAUUUCGGUAUGUAAACUUCGAAAGAAUAGGAAGAAUAAAUGACGGUACUAUUUAUAAGGUCCGGCUAACUACGUGCCAGCAGCCGCGGUAAUACGUAGGGACCAAGCGUUGUUCGGAUUUACUGGGCGUAAAGGGCGCGUAGGCGGCAAUUCAAGUCAUCUGUGAAAUCUCCGGGCUUAACUCGGAACGGUCAGAUGAUACUGCUUUGCUAGAGUGCAGAAGGGGCAAUCGGAAUUCUUGGUGUAGCGGUGAAAUGCGUAGAUAUCGGGAGGAACACCUGAGGCGAAGGCGGGCUACUAGGCUGAUACUGACGCUGAGGCGCGAAAGCCAGGGGAGCAAACGGGAUUAGAUACCCCCGUAGUCCCUGAGCGGGCUGGCAAGGCGCAU
rnacentral:rRNA from 1 species